rnacentral:rRNA from 1 species
UCCGGCAGCUAGCUCUCUGCAACUCUCACAUGGUCGCCCACUGAAGCUAAGCAGGGCUGCGCCCGGUCAGUACCUGGAUGGGAGACCACUUGGGAAAGCUAGGUUGCUGCCGGAA